UGAGGAAUAUUGGUCAAUGGGCGCAAGCCUGAACCAGCCAUCCCGCGUGCAGGAAGACGGCGCUAUGCGUUGUAAACUGCUUUUCCAGGGGGAGAAACUUCCGUACGUGUACGGAAUCGACGGUACCCUGGGAAUAAGCAUCGGCUAACUCCGUGCCAGCAGCCGCGGUAAUACGGAGGAUGCAAGCGUUAUCCGGAUUCAUUGGGUUUAAAGGGUGCGUAGGCGGACUAUUAAGUCAGUGGUGAAAUCCUGCAGCUUAACUGCAGAACUGCCAUUGAUACUGAUGGUCUUGAGUUUGGUUAAGGUAGGCGGAAUGUGUAAUGUAGCGGUGAAAUGCUUAGAUAUUACACAGAACACCAAUUGCGUAGGCAGCUUACUGAGCCGACACUGACGCUGAGGCACGAAAGCGUGGGGAUCGAACAG
rnacentral:rRNA from 1 species